GUCCACGCCCUAAACGAUGUCAACUAGGUGUUGGGUGGGUAAAACCAUUUAGUACCGGAGCUAACGCGUGAAGUUGACCGCCUGGGGAGUACGGCCGCAAGGUUAAAACUACAAAGGAAUUGACGGGGACCCGGCACAAGCGGUGGAUGAUGUGGAUUAAUUCGAUGCAACGCGAAAAACCUUAACCUACCCUUGACAUGUCAGGAACUUUCCAGAGAUGGAUUGGUGCUCGAAAGAGAACCUGAACACAGGUGCUGCAUGGCUGUCGU
rnacentral:rRNA from 1 species